AAAAAAUGGGGGAAUCAUGUUAAUUAACCUUACAAUGCAACCACCUGGAUCCACACUUAAUGAGGUAAAACAUCUGUGUUUAGUAAGGAUGUUCAAUUAGAUAAUUAAAUAUAGAUAGCUCACGUCCUUGUGAACUCUCAGACAGAUUUUUGCUGUCAUAGGUGAUGUACUUUGGCCACCAAGUCAAAUUAUGUUUUUUCAUCAACAUAAAUAGACCUAAACAGUCUGUCAUUUUGUGACUUAUAUAAGUCUUAAAUUGAAAAC
rnacentral:lncRNA from 1 species